CGGGGGGCGGGGUGAAGCUGGCCCAGCCCCUCGGCCGGGCGCGCAACAGGGGGCAGCGCGCGGGACUGGGCCGCUCUCUUCUUGGGACCCGCGGUUGAGGGGUGGGGCGCCCGUUGCGCGCCUCAGGCUGGGCCAGCGGCUCCCUCCGCGCGACGGUUGCGCCGCUGAGGGCCGCGAGGCGGGGAGUCGGACAGAAGAAAAGUGCCCAGGGGAGGAUCUAGGCUGGAAGGGGCGCCCCUGGGGCAGUGCCUCAUCUUUCUCCAGUUGAAAACCAACUAGAUGACAGCGGUUCCCAGUCAGUGGUUCGCCUCCCACCACUGGGGCGCAGACCCCCUGUCAGUGGUGGCGGCCAGUCUGCCCGAGUUUGGGACCUGCUGGACUAGGAGCUUCGCUCAGAGGCAAGGGGCCCACGGGAAGACCGAAAAGAAAACAAGUAUCGGUUCAAUCAAAUCUCCAAGGCGUAUGUCAAUGCUCCUACUGGGACCGAAGCCGGAGGCCCCUCGGCUCGGGGUCAGACCCAUCCCGUCUUCGGGGGAGGAAGGAAUUUUAACCCCUGGUCAGAAUGGUACAGACUGGGCUUUUUUGCCUUCCCCUAGUGAAGGUGUGACCCUCUACCCAGGAUCUCAAGCAUGUUAACUUCUCAUAGAAACGGGACUUCUGCUGUGGUGGUCUCCUUGCUUUACCUGCUGCAGGUUAAGGUGUUAGGGGUCUGUGUCAGGGGUGACGGUAGUCUUAUGAAGAGUAGAUUAUGGAUUUGUGUGGGAUGGGCUGGAAAGGGAUGAUCCUUGGGCAGGGGGGUUGGACCAGAUGAUCUUUGGAGGUCUCUUCCAGCAUCUCUACAAUCCUAUGAAAACCAAUUUGCAGGGCUGUGAAAUAGGAGCUAAAAAGAAGAGAGGGUCAUUAACACCCACGGAAAGAGUUCAGAAGGGAGCAGGCAGAUCAUGAGCCAGGAGGUCGCAUGAUUCCAUAGUGCAGAGGCAGCCCUGAAAGUGCCUUACCUAUCACACUCUCACGGACCCAGAGGCACAGCCUUCCAUCUUCAGCUCCCUCUGUGCAAAAAUGAAGUUUAUUUCCUACCUAUGGGGACUGUUUACCAUCUUGUACCAUCUACACUUUUCCCAGAGCCUGACGAAGGGAUUUUGAUCCCAAAAGCUUGCAGAAAAGAACAGUUUUCUUGCCAACUUCCAGUUGGUCUAAUAAAAGGUAUCAUUUUGGAA